AUGAUGUCCUUGGAGUCUGUUCCUCUUUUGACUCCAGGUGCGGGACAACUUGAGGUCCUUCUACCUCUUGAAUGAAGCCCAGCCAUCCACUAUGUUGCCAGCUCAAGAGCAACACCUACCAGUCCCUAUUCUGCUCGUACUGCCCUGGCCAUCGUGCUCUCCUCCUAUGGAAACCCCAGCUUUACCCUCCCCUUCCGGACAAUCUACCUCCAGGGAGCAAAGUCCUAACCCGUGCCUCAGCCUUGUGUUGUGACAACCUAAGCAUAUUGUUUAACGUUUGGAUCUGAUGGAUGUGUUGGG